rnacentral:misc_RNA from 1 species
GAUGAAGAACGCAGCGAAAUGCGAUAAGUAGUGUGAAUUGCAGAAUUCAGUGAAUCAUCGAAUCUUUGAACGCACAUUGCGCCCCUUGGUAUUCCAUGGGGCAUGCCUGUUCGAGCGUCAUUUGUACCCUCAAGCUUUGCUUGGUGUUGGGCGUCUUGUCGUAUUACGACUCGCCUUAAAUACAUUGGCAGCCGGCACUUUGGCCUAGGAGCGCAGCACAUUUUGCGAUCGUAGCCCGUUGUACUGGCGUCCAUCAAGAACAUUUACCACGUUUGACCUCGGAUCAGGUAGGGAUACCCGAUGAACUUAAGCAUAUCAAUAAGCGGAGGA